CUUUGGGAAUGUCAGGCCUCUGAGCCCAAGCCAAGCCAUCGCAUCCCCUAUGACAUGCACGUACACGCCCAGAUGGCCUGAAGUAACUGAAGAAUCACAAAAGAAGUGAAUAUGCCCUGCCCCACCUUAACUGAUGACAUUCCACCACAAAAGAAGUGUAAAUGGCCAGUCCUUGCCUUAACUGAUGACAUUACCUUGUGAAAGUCCUUUUCCUGGCUCAUCCUGGCUCAAAAAGCACCCCCACUGAGCACCUUGCGACCCCCCGCUCCUACCCGCCAGAGAACAAACCCCCUUUGACUGUAAUUUUCCUUUACCUAACCAAAUCCUAUAAAACGGCCCCACCCUUAUCUCCCUUCGCUGACUCUCUUUUCGGACUCAGCCCGCCUGCACCCAGGUGAAAUAAACAGCCUCGUUGCUCACACAAAGCCUGUUUGGUGGUCUCUUCACACGGACGCGCAUGAAAUUUGGUGCCGUGACUCGGAUCGGGGGACCUCCCUUGGGAGAUCAAUCCCCUGUCCUCCUGCUCUUUGCUCCGUGAGAAAGAUCCACCUACGACCUCAGGUCCUCAGACCAACCAGCCCAAGAAACAUCUCACCAAUUUCAAAUCCGGUAAGCGGCCUCUUUUUACUCUGUUCUCCAACCUCCCUCACUAUCCCUCAACCUCUUUCUCCUUUCAAUCUUGGCGCCACACUUCAAUCUCUCCCUUCUCUUAAUUUCAAUUCCUUUCAUUCUCUGGUAGAGACAAAAGAGACAUGUUUUAUCCGUGAACCCAAAACUCCGGCGCCGGUCACGGACUGGGAAGGCAGUCUUCCCUUGGUGUUUAAUCAUUGCAGGGACGCCUCUCUGAUUUCACGUUUCAGACCACGCAGGGAUGCCUGCCUUGGUCCUUCACCCUUAGCGGCAAGUCCCGCUUUCCUGGGGCAGGGGCAAGUACCCCUCAACCCCUUCUCCUUCACCCUUAGCGGCAAGUCCCGCUUUUCUGGGGCAGGGGCAAGUACCCCUCAACCCCUUCUCCUUCACCCUUAGCAGCAAGUCCCGCUUUCCUAGGGGGCAAGAACCCCCCAAUCGCUUAUUUUCACGCCCCAACCUCUUAUCUCUGUGCCCCAAUCCCUUAUUUCCACGCCCCAAUCUCUUAUCUCUGCGCCCCAAUCCCUUAUUUCCGCGCCCCAACCCUUUCUCUGCUUUUCUGGAGGGGAAGAAACCCCCACCCCUUCUCCGUGUCUCUACUCUUUUCUCUGGGCUUGCCUCCUUCACUAUGGGCAAGCUUCCACCUUCCAUUCCUUUCUUCUCCCUUAGCAUGUAUUCUUAAGAACUUAAAAUCUCUUCAAUUCUCACCUGACCUAAAAUCUAAGCGUCUUAUUUUCUUCUGCAAUGCCACUUGACCCCAAUACAAACUCAACAGUAGUUCCAAAUAGCCAGAAAAUGGCACUUUCAAUUUUUCCACCCUACAAGAUCUAAAUAAUUCUUGGCGUAAAAUGGGCAAAUGGUGUGAGGUGCCUGACGUCCAGGCAUUCUUUUACACAUCAGUCCCUUCCUAGUCUCUGUGCCCAGUGCAACUCGUCCCAAAUCUUCCUUCUUUCCCUCCCGCCUGUCCCCUCAGUACCAACCCCAAGCGUCACUGAGUCUUUCUAAUCUUCCUUUUCUACAGACCCAUCUGACCUCUCCCUUCCUCCCCAGGCUGCUCCUUGCCAGGCCGAGCUAGGUCCCAAUUCUUCCUCAGCCUCUGCUCCUCCACCCUAUAAUCUUUUUAUCACCUCCCCUCCUCACACCUGCUCCGGCUUACAGUUUCAUUCCGUGACUAGCCCUCCCCGACCUGCCCAGCAAUUUAUUCUUAAAAAGGUGGCUGGAGCUAAACGCAUAGUCAAGGUUAAUGCUCCUUUUUCUUUAUCCCAAAUCAGAUAGUGUUUAGGCUCUUUUUCAUCAAAUAUAAAAAUCUAGCCCAGUUCAUGGCUCGUUUGGCAGCAACCCUAAGACACUUUACAGCCCUAGCCCCUAAAAGGUCAAAAGGCCAUCUUAUUCUCAAUAUACAUUUUAUUACCCAAUCUGCUCCCGACAUUAAAUAAAACUCCAAAAACUGGAAUCUGGCCCUCAAACCCCACAACAGGACUUAAUUAACCUCACCUUCAAGGUGUGAAAUAACAGAAAAAAGUUGCAAUUCCUUGCCUCCACUGUGAGACAAACCCCAGCCACAUCUCCAGCACACAAGAACUUCCAAACGCCUGAACUGUAGCAGCCAGACGUUUCUCCAGAACCUCCUCCCCCAGGAACUUGCUACACAUGCCGGAAAUCUGGCCACUGGGCCAAGGAACGCCCGCAGCCCGGGAUUCCUCCUAAGCCGCGUCCCAUCUGUGUGGGACCCCACUGAAAAUCGGACUGUUCAACUCACCUGGCAGCCACUCCCAGAGCUCCUGGAACUCUGGCCCAAGGUUCUCUGACUGACUCCUUCUUGGCUUACUGGCUGAAGACUGACGCUGCCUGAUCGCCUCAGAAGCCCCGCAGACCAUCAUGGACGCCGAGCUUUAGCCCGCCUGCACCCAGGUGAAAUAAACAGCCUUGUUGCUCACACAAAGCCUGUUUGGUGGUCUCUUCACACAGACGCGCAUGAAAGGGAAGACAUACAAAAACAAGGCCUCUGAGGUAGGUACUACUGAGACAGCCAGGUGGGAAGGACUCCUUGGCAAAACUCCAACCAGCCUGUACACUGGGAGGAAUGUGCACUGGGAUGGAGCCAUAGAAGUUUGUGUCGUUUGCAGUGGGGAGGAGCCUGGUCCCUCCUCUUCCUGUGAGGAACCUGGAAUUCAAUCUGUGAGGAACUUCUUGAAAGACCCAUCAAUUCUUCAAUAGAAAGCAUCAAAGGACAAUUUACACCCUAAGACUGAACCCCUGACCUCAAAAUCUUUCCCUUGCUAUGUUCACCAACCUCAACAGAAAUAUUAGGAUUCUUACCUGAUCCUAGCCAAGCCCCCUCCCUCAUCUCCCAUUAAAGGGUCCAUCUUCAACCAAACUUAAGUCUCAAUAAAUAUCUGGACAUUGUCCUUCCAACUCUGGGAAGCUGCUAAGACUCUGUCCUUACUGCAGAAGAAAAAACAGCCUUGUACCCUGGUCUUCUCAACAGGUUGUUCUGGAGAUGUUCUGGGGAGACUGCAUUAAACACAGCUUCGCACCAUUGAAUAAACUCAGCAACAAGCCAAUGCAUAAAAGUAAUCUAUGCUUCAGGUCACAGAAGCUUCAAGGGGAAAAAAACAGAAUACUCUAGGGCCAUUGUUCACAAACUCAUCUGAAAACAUCCUGGAAAAAUUUUCCCAAACACAUGGAAAGAAAGAGAGGAAAAAAGAAGAUAUCUGAAUAAUGUGGACUAGAAUAAAGAGCUGCCAGGAGCUGUUUAUUUAAAAACAGUACUUUCUUCUCUGGCUGAGUCCCUGGUAUUCUCUGCUGCAAUCUGUAGCUGUAGAAUUUUGAAGAAUGCAAUUAAAUUCAAAUGGUUUGAUGAGUAAUAUCUUUUCUCUUCAUAUUUGUCUAAAACUUUUCUUUAUUGAAUAGCGAGAGUGAUGAAAGUGUUUUCCAUAAUAAUAACAAUGACAAGGGCCUGAUGAUGAACUACAAUUAGCUCAGUGAUUCAUCAGUUAGCAGUGAAAUUUUCAAUGCAUCCUGACAUUUAGAGCAUUUGGUUGUGAUUAACAGUCUUUGAAAUGUCACCGAAUUUUAUUUAAUUGGCUAAGAAAAAAUUUUAAAAGGUAAUCACUGCAAAGAUCACAUUCAUCGCCAAAAAUGAUAAUUGCAGUUGUCACAUGACAAGGUAGAUGCUAACUACUGUAGCAAACUUGCUCUGUGUUCUUACAGAAUCUAAUGAAUGCAGCAGAGAUCAAGAGCUUGAAGGGGCUUAGAAGUUUAUUUGAAUGCUCCUUUCAAAGCCAUUUGUAUCAAGAACUGCAAGCCUUUAAGUCAUCUGAGCAAAUACCAAAACUGAAAUGCAGGAAGUGCAACUGGACAGCACUGACCCAGAGACAGGGGUUAAAAUGGACCUUCCUUCCUAUCAAGCCAUGGACUAAUGAUUAAGGAGUGGGACCAUUUAUCAGACCUGUCUAGUCUAUGAAUUCCACCCCAAGGGCCACAGUUGUGCACGGGCAUUGAGCCAAUCCCUGGACUUCUGCUGGCACGUGGGAGGAAGGACUCUCUCUUUCCAUGAGGAUUGCUGAGAGGAAGCCUAGGGCUGCCAGCAAUCAUCCUGCCACCGCACGGGAGGUGCACACCUGAAUGAAGGUAACAGCCGCAGAGAGCAAAGCCCACAUGGAGGAGCCAGGACAGGAUGGGGACAACAAGGCUUGAGCCCCUAGAUCCGGGCAUGCCUGGCCUUUUAGCCAUCGUAUGGUGCGAUCGGUUUACCGCGCCUGUGCUAGACUGAAUACAGCACUUUAUACACAGCAGGCUUUUGGUGCUCGAGGCUUUAACAGCCAGUGCUUUGACGACCCAUGGCACGGAGGAUUUGUGAUUUUGCUGAUGAUCAAUCCUAACCAUGUACACCCCAAGGGUAGUGUCUGGAAGCAAAGGAAGGGGCUGGCUGACUGCCCUGCAUCCUCUGCAUCACUACAGAUUUAUUUUUCUCUACUCCCAGUUGUGGUCGUUGUAAGAUCCAGAAAUUGUUAUGUUUAAUGCCAUCAUAUCAUUGUUAUUGUGUGGAGGCAAUUGGUAUACAGGCCCUAUGAACUCUGAUUUAAAAAAAAAAAAAACCAAAAACUGGCCAGGUGCAGUGGCUCAUGCCUGUAAUCCCAGCAUUUUGGGAGGCCAAGGCAGGCAGAUCACGAGGUCAGGAGAUCGCAACCGUCCUGGCUAACAUGGUGAAACCCCAUCUCUACUAACAAUACAAAAAAUUAGCCAGACGUGGUGGCGGGCGCCUGUAGUCCCAGCUACUCGGGAGGCUGAGGCAGAAGAAUGGCGUGAACCCGGGAGGCAGAGCUUGCAGUGAGCUGAGAUUGCACCACUGCACUCCAGCCUGGGCGAAAGAGCGAGACUCCAUUUCAAAACAAACAAACAAACAAAAAACUGAACUGGGGGUCAGGAGACUGAGUUCCAGUGCUGGUUAUACCAUUUACCAACUGAACCCCUGAGACAAGUGGCUUUAGUUCUCUGGCUUCAAUUUUGCCUGCUGUGAAAUGAGGAUGGGAAAGCACCUGAGUAGUGGGUGGGGUAGUGAGAGCAUCAGUGCCUCAGAACAGCAGGCAGGACUUCCUUCCAAUUCCUGUUCUGACAUUCGCCCUCUCUACAAGCCUGAGUAAGACACUGCCUUAUCUGUGCCUUCAUUUCUCUCUGAUACUUGGUGGUACUGGGUUGACUUCUCCCUGGGGGACCCGAAAAAAGAAGUCAUCUGAAAGAAUUUUGGUGACAGAAAAAAAAGUGAGACUUUCAUUUCAUAUUCACUAAAAGAAAGGACCGUCUUCAACAUGUGAAAAUUAAAACAGACUACAUCUCCAACGCUUUCUAUGCCCACUUCCUGGGUUGCAACUUUAUAAUCUAAUAGACCUUGGAAAAGGAAUUAUUUUGCCUUUCGAGGGCCAGGUUUUCUCAAAUGGAUAGAGACACGUAGCUGACUUCACUGACCCCAGGACCCGAGUGCCUCAAGGGCACAGCUACAGAACAGAAGGCUCCAGAUCGCCCAAGUCAGGGAGACGCUGAACAGCCGUGUACCAAAAGGUGGCCAGUUCUCAUUAUUUUUCUCAAUUAAAAUAAACCAUUUAUUGGAAAUGGUGACAGUUCCAUUUUAUUAUUAAACCUCAAUAAAGGAGGAGGGUGGCUCUUUAUCUUUGCUUCAAGCGACUCACGCAGCAUAUGCUGCUGCCCAGGAAAAAGCCUCGCUUCCAAAGCAAUUAGUGCAGCUUAAUGCCUGGGGAGAUGAGCCCACGCUGGCGCCACCACUCCCUGUGCCAAAUGCCAGCAGCACGGCCACAUCCGCUUAUCUCUGACAAACAGCCACAACGUUGAGGCCAGCAGAGGAUCCUGGUGAAAUAAGCCUCUCCUUCACCAGUAUUCAGUUUAGUUGAAUCAUACUGAUGACUCUCUGUGAUCACAGCAAUCAUGUUUUUUUUCCUGUCUAUGUAAUUAUAAUAAAUGUUUGAGUCCUUCCUGUUAAGAGCAAGGUGUCAAAUGGACAUCAGCGGACAAAACAAGCCCUUGAGAGCUGGUGGUCCUGGCUGGGAGUACAGCCGCUAUUUGGAGGGGAGGCUAAUAGCCAUCUAUCAAUGACACCCAUCAGGGUCAUUCGAGUACUGCAGACAUGAAUUUCGUACCCAUUAGGAGUGGACAAAGGUUGUUGCAGCAACUCCACCAUGGGAAGGCUUCAGAAGUCACGUCACCAAGCCCUCCAAGGGCAGCCAAUACUGGCAAAGUGACAACUGUAUGCUAGGCAUCACGUGCUUUUUGUACAUUACUUUGUUUGAUCCUCCUAACACCCCUAAAAGAAAGGUACUAUUACAUUCUUAUUUUACAUGUAGGCCGAGGACACUAGAAAGGUCAAGACAGCAGAGUGGGUUUCAAAGUGCUGAGUCCCUGUGCAAUAGGGCCCCUUCACAGCGCCCAGGGCCCAGCUCUCUACGUCCCUGAUAAACUACAGCAUGCAGGUGGGUGCAGAGACUUAGGUUCGUGUGCAAAGCUAAGAUUCCGUGCAGGGCUGGUUUCCAGGGGAUGUGACAUAUGCAGUGGCCCAGAGUCCCAUUUUCAGAAGGACUCAGUGUUUGGUUUAAUGCUUUGUUACCACUGUCCUGAAAUUCUUUAUAAUUGUAUUUUUUGAAUCUGUGAUUUGUACGUGAAAUCCAGUGGAGCAAUGGAGCAUGCCUGUGAGCAGAGGAGACACCCAAAAGAUGGUGUCUGCUGCUCCUUGCUGCCCUGUUCACACGCAGCACAGAAUUCUGGUGUGCUGCUACAGUGCAGGUAUCCUCAAAUGGACUUCACUUUAAUAGGUCACUUUGCACUGUGGCUGUCAGGUAGCUCGAGCUCACUGGAAAAUUAAAAUUAAGGCAUUAAAGGUAAGAGUGUUCUGUAGAGCCUCUUUCAUUUUCAGUUCUGUCAGUAAACAGACACAGGAUUGCCUGCUUUCUCCUAAAACAGAGAUGUGGCUCCUAUCAGCCUAAAUGACGAGCAGGGUCCCAACAGCCAUGUCCACCCUAUUCUGAUGCCCAACUCCUCAGUGAGACUUCCAGAUAAGCUCAUGGGGUUCUGUGGUCCCACUACUACUGUGCUCCAAACCCAAAGUGCAGAAGCCCAUUUUUCAGAGGCUCAAAGGGUGCCCACACCUGUCCUCCCCGCUGAUUUGGAUAUUACACCACAAGAUUAUCUGAUGUAAAUCUGGACACUUCCUCUUGAUCUAAUUCCUCCUGACAACACACACACACCCAACCCUAACCUCAACCUGGGAUGAGUCUCUCAUAUUCCCAUUUAGUCUGAGAACUCCCUUGGCUGACUUUUACAGCCUCUUUGGGGCAAAUCUCUCAGGGAUGUUAGGGCAGUGCAGAGCCAAUAUUAUCUUGUAGGUAAGGCACAUAUCUUGUGACAUGGCUACCACCAAGCCUAGGUUCCUGUAAAUCAGACUGUCAUUUAAUUCCCGUGGGAAGCAGUGACAUGGUAUUUCUCAAAGAAGAAAACAGAAUGGCUGAAGAAAGC
rnacentral:lncRNA from 10 species